rnacentral:rRNA from 1 species
CCUACGGGUGGCAGCAGUGGGGAAUAUUGCACAAUGGGCGCAAGCCUGAUGCAGCCAUGCCGCGUGUGUGAAGAAGGCCUUCGGGUUGUAAAGCACUUUCAGCGGGGAGGAAGGCGGUGAGGUUAAUAACCUCAUCGAUUGACGUUACCCGCAGAAGAAGCACCGGCUAACUCCGUGCCAGCGGCCGCGGUAAUACGGAGGGUGCAAGCGUUAAUCGGAAUUACUGGGCGUAAAGCGCACGCAGGCGGUCUGUCAAGUCGGAUGUGAAAUCCCCGGGCUCAACCUGGGAACUGCAUUCGAAACUGGCAGGCUAGAGUCUUGUAGAGGGGGGUAGAAUUCCAGGUGUAGCGGUGAAAUGCGUAGAGAUCUGGAGGAAUACCGGUGGCGAAGGCGGCCCCCUGGACAAAGACUGACGCUCAGGUGCGAAAGCGUGGGGAGCAAACAGGAUAGAUACCCUUGUAGUC